UGGGGAAUCUUCCGCAAUGGACGAAAGUCUGACGGAGCAACGCCGCGUGAGUGAAGACGGCCUUCGGGUUGUAAAGCUCUGUGAUCCGGGACGAAAGAGCCUGAGGUGAAUAGCCUAAGGAAGUGACGGUACCGGAAAAGCAAGCCACGGCUAACUACGUGCCAGCAGCCGCGGUAAUACGUAGGUGGCAAGCGUUGUCCGGAAUUAUUGGGCGUAAAGCGCGCGCAGGCGGCUUCCUAAGUCCAUCUUAAAAGUGCGGGGCUUAACCCCGUGAUGGGAUGGAAACUGGGAAGCUGGAGUAUCGGAGAGGAAAGUGGAAUUCCUAGUGUAGCGGUGAAAUGCGUAGAGAUUAGGGAGAACACCGGUGGCGAAGGCGACUUUCUGGACGAAAACUGACGCUGAGGCGCGAAAGCGUGGGGAGCAAACAGG
rnacentral:rRNA from 1 species